UUCUGUCUUUUUUCACAUACUGUUUUAAAUAUGCUUCAUGGAGAAAAAUCAUAGAGUGGUUUGGGUUGGAAGGGACCUUUAAAGAUCAUCCAGUUCCAGCCCCAUUACAUGGGCAGGGUUGCUGCCCAUUAGGUUAGGUUGCCCGAGGUCUCACGCACCUGGCUUUGAACACUCCAGGGUUGGGCCAUCCACAGCUUUUGUGGGCACCCUCAUUUAGUUUGAUUAGGUUUAGGUUAGAUAUCAGGAGGAAGUUUUUCACACAGAGGGUGGUGACGCACUGGAACAGGUUGCCCAAGGAGAUUGUGGAUACCCCAUCCCUGGAGGCACUCCAGGCCAGGCUGGAUGUGGCUCUGGGCAGCCUGAUCUGGUGGUUGGUGACCCUGCAUGUAGCAUUGGGGUUGAAAUUUGAUGAUGAUUGUGGUCCUUUUCAACCCAGGCCAUUCUGUGAUUCUAUGAUUCUCUGAUCUAAAACAUUUAAAUUAUUAAGCCUGACAUUUGUGAUCAGUACAGUGAUAAUAAUGAAGGUCUUAGUGUUUGUCUACAUGACAGCAGUUUGAUGUAAGCUAAAGGCUUUGGGUUGUUUGUGUGUUAAGAAAGAUUGCAGACCUUUUUAGGAGACACCAAAUGUACCUUUCAUGAGGAGUUCAGUCCUUUAUAGGUUCAUUCUCUUCUAGAGCUACUUUUACGUUACCUAAACAGGUAGCAACAGAACAUACCUAUUUUUUUAAUCCUAUUGUAAAGAUAUCAGACAGUCAGACAUUAGUAACGGAAUGAAUAAUAAUGCUUAUGUACUUCUUAUCGUAUUAUCUUUGAAAACCUCAUGGUAAAGAAUGCAGUAGAGUUAUUUGUCUUUCUCCUGUUUUAUUAAAAAGGUAAAUUGCACAAAAUAUGUAAUGUGAAAACUGUCUGAUUCAACUGGCUGAGGAUGUCUAGGUAGCUUCUUAUGUGAUCAGAAGGAUGAUUGCUGAAGUCUAAAAAUUAUCUAUAAGGAACAUGGAAAAAGUAUAAAGGUUUUAAGAAAGUAGAGAAUAUUGGUUUGCCCCAUUUGACAUUUGGGGCAUAUAUAUGUAUAUGUUUAACAAAUGAUCCUAAUGAUGAUUCUCCUUCCUGUGGGGAUGUGGAUGAUCCUGAAGCCUGUGCAGUUAGCGGUGGAAACAUUUGGGUAAGUUAAGGGAGCAGAUGUCAGUUUCUGAACUUCUUUGCCUUCCUUCUGUGGUUCCCUAGCAGUCAUACCAAGAUUGCUUUCAGGUUUGGGAUGAGUGACUAACAGCUGCAGUGGACAAAUUAAGUCAACGUGAUGCAUGAUGGCAUAAUUUAACCAGUUACAGUUUGGAAAGUGGCUCUUGGAGUUUGUGACUAGGUUUUACAGAGAUGAAUUUUGGACUUUGCGGGAUAUACUAAGCACAUGUUCCAUUUCCACUGCUGUAUUUUGAUGCUCUGUCCAAAAUAAUACAUAAGGAUUUGUAUUUUUCAUGCUACCCCAGUCUGCGAAGCUGAGAAAUCUUACCAGCUCGUUUGAUGGUGAGAAGGUGAGCUGAGACUAUACUUGUCAUCAACAUUGGUAAGGCAAUAUGAACAGUUGAAUAUGACCUCUGAAGUUUUACUUUGAGAAAUUAUUACAUAGUGCUGUGUGGUGGUCUGUCACUCACGACUGUUGAAAACGUAUCAAAAAGCUUAGAACGUGUUUAUUAACUCUCCUUGUCCCGCAAGGUUUCCUGUUCAUAAUCUUUUUAAGAAUUAAAAAUCUAAUGGAGAGCAGCAAAACUCUUUACAUGGUGUUCCAUAUGAAAUUCAGACUAACUUCGGCUUGUGAAAGAAGACCGGACUGUUUACUUUGGAUACACUGCAACACAGAGGUGUGGUGGCUUUAUACUUUCACAAGGCUUUCGGGGUUGUCUGUGCUUGAAAACUGCAAAGCUCUGUAGAGCAUCUGGGUCAGUCCUGUCUGUCCGCUCCACCACCCCUUGCAAAGUGUUCGCCACGGCUGCAGUGUGGUACCAUUAAGUCCAACAGGUGGCUGCUGCUAAUGUGUGCUGACUGGCUUCUUGUUCUGGCCAGAAAUGUUUCAGACAUGAAUAAUUCACAGCCGCUUUCCCAAGGUUUCCUACCUAUAAACCUACUCUCCAAAAGCCGUUGAUUCUUUCCUUCGUGUAGCCUUCACUGGCAGUCCCACCAUGUGGUUUGUUCCCCAUAGCUGGGAUUAAUUUGGCAACAAGUAACUCUUCUCACCCGAUGAUACCCUAAGUUAAAAAAAAAAAAAGACUUGAUUUCCCUGAUGCAUUACAGAAUGUUCCGGGUACUGAAGGAAAACAAUCAACAGCCUCCAAGAUCUUACUUGUUCAGAGGAUGUGGCAAAUAAUAACAUCACCCUGUGCUUUUUCCUAGUACCCUGAUUUUCCUUCUGCUGAGACAUAGGAGGAGGAGUCACACAGCUUGCCCACUUUGUGUUGCAAAGACCUUUCCAUGCUUUUGCAGCAAGAUUUUCACUUUACAUUCACAUAGAGGAAUUGGCAGUCACUUCAAGAAGUGGCCAUAAUCAGGAUUGGAAUAAAUUUAGUUAUCUGCAAAUCCAUAUUUCAACAGCUGGAAGAAUAAUUUUCGUGAUCUGCAAGUCCAUAUUUCGACAGCUGGAAGAAGCAAGAAGUGUUAUUUUGAAGCUUGGGGUUAUUUUCUGUUGAAUCCCAAUGACUGCUGAAGACAAUCCAGUUGAAAACCUGCUGAAAUAGCAUCUUCCAGGUUUACAAAACUGCCUUCUACAGCCUGACUCCAGCAUACCCUGCUUUACUGCUGGCAUCUUCUCUAGAGCUGUACCACCUGUGUUUUGCUUGGCAGGUAGCAGAGCCAAGAUGGAGACAGUGUCCCAGAAACUUUAGGUCUCAUAACAGAAGGUCUGAUUCAACAAUCCAGACUGGUCCAGCAAGUACAUAACCCUGGAGGUGGGCCGAAUUGUGACCUGGAAAGGCUGAGAGUGACACACAUUUUUGUAUCUUUUCAAGAACAUAUAAAUGCUGUACUUCAGUGCUAAUGUAUUAAACUAUGAGCUGAAGAUAAUGUUACAGACUCCACAUUCAAGACAUUUCAGAUGCCAAAAUCAAGAGUCCUAAAUCCCUUGAAAUCAUCGGGCCAGGAGUGCUUUGCAAUGGAUCUUUUUCUCCUGAGCACUUACCGUUCCUCUCUGUGCUUGGGCUGCACUGUCCUCUGCAGGGAAUGCCAGGCAGUGUGUUGGCAGCAGAGCAGGCUGCCACUGAACAGUGCACGUACACCUGAGAAGAAGAACCAUUUGGUCCAUAUGCGAUCCCUCUUGCAGAGCACUGUUCUGCCUUUUGUUCGCCUUUUGCAGAAGUUACAUCUGAUUAGACUCAAGUUUGUCUGAACACUUGCACAUGACACCUUCUAGCUGAACCUGCUUUGAAUUUCAAAUUUGGUGUCAAAGAAGCCCUCAGGCAGUUUGGUAACUGAGAGGCUGAGACGAGAGAAGUGAAAACCUCAUGAGCUGCGGUGAGGCUGAGUAUCAAAGCUAGACAGAAACUCAAUCUUGCGCUAGAUGCAGCUGCCCGUUUAGGAAGUAGUACAUGCCAGAAUUGCAUCAUGUUCAUUUCUAGCAAGUUCACAAGUUGAACAGCUCAAAAAAGGCCAAGUCAAAAAAUCAUGUGCUUAAGCUGCCUAGACGGUGGUGCUGCCAUGACUUGUUGAGCUAGAAUCGACCCAACUGGGUACCCGAGGAACAGUGUGCUCCCAGGUGACUGUCCUGGGUUUUCUUUGCUCUUCUGAAGGUCCAGUGCUGAAGGAAAACACAUUCUCCAAAAUGUAAGGCCAGACACACAUGCCUCUGCUUCCCUGCCUACUGGGCUGGCUUCUGAGGAGAUGUCUGACUGGCUGGGCAGGUGAGAGAUGACUGGGCUCAAAUUCUUGUUGCAUGUGUGGUGCAAAAGUUGAGUUUUCUGUUCUAGACAUUUUCAGUUGAAGUGCUGUGAAUAUGUCCCUAAAAAAACUCAAGAACACCAUAUAAAAAUCAUAUUUACAUACCAAACUUCUUUGUUUACUCCAGACAGUCCAAUUACAAGUCACUGGAAUCGUGUUGCAAAGGGGAUUUGAGAAGAGAACUAAAUUAAACCUACACACCAGUCAGGCUACUUAGGCUGGAUGCUGGAUAGGUCUUAACUCUGUGAGAGUUUAAAUUGGCUGGGUUUUUAAUUGAUCUUAAGAAGUACUCCAGAUUGGGUCCAUGAAUCUUGGAUGAGCGUUUUACUUAAUCUUACCUGUUCCAGUCGAUGUGUCAGGGUCCUUACUGCCAGCCUUUUGAAAUGAGAAGGGUGUCUCACUCUAGAGCUAGCAGCUACUGAGCAGAACACUGCAACAUACUCACUGCCAUUAAUCUCACACCUAUUUGAGAGAACAGAUCAAAAGAUCUAGAAGAAAUCAUAGUUCCUCUGAUGAACACAUUGGUCAUUCAGUUACUACUUGCCCAUCCACAGUGAUGUUCCACCUUGGGGUGCUGUUGAAAUCUAGAGACCCUGUCACCCAACAGUUAUCCAGGUAUAACUCAGUGUCAGGGCUCUCAUCUUUCAGCUCCACCUCAAGAAACACAGACUCUGUGGGUCGCUUGAGUAUCACCACAUUGGGCUCAUAGAAAUCCAUGAAAGAUUCACCUUGAGAAAACAUCACGGGAUGUUGUUGUUGGUUAAAAUUUUAUUUAGAUCAAAGCAUAUUUGGAAUUUUUCUGAUUUUUUUUGAAGGAGACUUACUUUUGGACACUCUUGAAACUACAUUCAGGGCUUGUCUUAUCCUUCUGUGUACUGCAAAAAAGGAAAUGUUUGUGAUGUUCUUUUGUAGAAAGCGGAUUACAAGUGAAAAAGUCACAGCAGUUCCAAAUUGUAGGAAGAUCAUAGAAUCAUUGAAUGACUUGGGCUGGAAGGUGCCCCAAGGAUCAUCAGUUCCAACCUCCCUGCCACAGCCAGGGCCACCAACCUCCAGAUCUGAUACAAGACCAGGUUGCCUAGGGCCAGACCAUCCAACCUGGUCUUGAACACCUCCAGGGAUGGGGCAUCCACAGCUUCUCUGGGCAGCCUAUUCCAACACUUCACCACUCUCUCUGUUAAGAACUUCCCCCUGGCAUCUAAUCUAAAUCUUCCUUCCUUGAGCUUAAAACUACUUCCCCUCGUCCUAUCACUACCUUCCCAAGUAAAAAGUUAAUUAAAAGAAAAAAGACGAUUGCCUACCUGCAGAAUUUGACCUUGGCACUACUGUACCAGAGCCAGAGGGAUGUGAUGCGGAAGGCUUGCUAAUGAAGGCACCUAGCAUCACUGUCUCUUUUGCUCGAUAGUAGCACAAGACGGUUAAUCUAUAAUAGGAAAAAGGGUAAUUUAUGUGUUCUCUUUCCACCACCAAAGUGUGUUGCCAGUGAGCAGUUGCUGCUCCUACCUGUAGUCUGGAUCUCUUGUGAUUGUUGAAUGGCCCUGUCCUUGAAGAGUCUCUUUCUCAUAAGAGAUUUCAUUUUCAUAAACAAUGUGAUCACCUUCAAACUGCAUAUAGGAAGCUCAUUAAAAAUGGAAUCGUCUCAGGUUCUGGGGCAAGGCAACAAAAGAGAAAAUGCAGGAGAGACAGAGACUUGCAGCAGAUGUAUUUGUUCUGGCCAUGGACUUACCCUUACUGAAGUGCCACAGGUGGUGACAUGGAACUUGAAGAAGGCAUGUCCUUUGUUAUACUCUUUAGGCUUGCAUGAGCUAUCCCGUAGUUGGGUUCUACUCAUAUCAAUGCCAGGAACUGUCUUCAUUUGGGCAGAUAUAAUUACAGUACCAUCUGGGUAGCAUACUGAGAAAAUCAGAGUUGGUUAUAAACUCAAGGGAAGAAGUACAGACCUCUUUGUUGAUUGAUCAUUUUUACAACUUACAUAUAAAUGCUGGGGAAUUAAAAUUGCAGCUAACGGAGAAUGUCUGUAAGGUCUCCAUGGUUCUCACUUUCCUUAGGGCAACAUCAAACCUUGCUUUAAUUUUCUGGAAGGACACUUCCUGUGAAGGAGGAGAUGGAAGAGAUCUCCUGUUAAGGCAUGUAGUCAGUAUGUCCAAAAUUCUGCUCUUUAGCUUGUGCCAUUUGAAUACCAAAAAGUCAUGAGAGUUAUGUCAAUGUGACAACUCAGGCCUGACACUGCAUGGAGGCAGGAGUUUUCUGUUAUGAAUUAAUUUAUCACUGUCAAAGAGAGAUAAAUUUUGGCUGAUUAUUGUAGAGUACUCCAGAUAUUUAAUAUCACAUCAAUUUUAACAUUUCUAAAAAACUUUCCUUUAAAAGGAACAUCAAAGCUAUGUUGAAAUACAUUUUUUGGCUUUGUGCAGAUGGGACAUUUUGCAUCUAUUCAUUAUUAACACCAAGGAGUCUGUUUUGAGCACUUGGCGCAUAUCUUUUAUCGAUAGCUCUGCAGAUCAUGUAACACAUGGCAUUACCAGAAGAGUCUGUGUUGGUAACUCUUGUCCUCCUUAUACUGGCUUAGAGUCAUUCCCUCUACAGGUUUUCCAAUACCUGUUAUACUGUGACACUACAGAUUGUGGCAGUGUGCCUGCACCUGUAUGGGCAAACAGUCCUAUGUGCUUUAAAGAAGGCUGUUAUGCAGUUCACAUACCUCAUAGAUGACUCCCACAGCAAACAGAGGUUGAGCUCAGAGCUACUUCGAAGAUGGAACAGGACAGCGAAGAGACUCUGUCACCUUUGGGACAUCCAAAAUAGAUGGGAGCUGUGCCCUGAGCAUUACUCAUGAGGUUACCACGAAGAAGCAGGUUAGAAGCUGUUAGAAAAGACUCCUUCAUACCUCUGGCAGUGCUGACAUCCAUGCUACGGUGUAGUCACUUGAAACUGCAGGGACAUCAGUCUUCACUGACACCUGGGAACACAGAGAACAGCAAGAAAAGCAUCCAGAUCCUGCAGUGUAAACAUAUGUGCAAACAACUGAGUGAGCAAUAAAACCAAGAUCAAGAUGGAAAAUGGAAGAAGCAGCAACUCAGUACCUGCAUAGCGAGUAACCCAUAGCUUCCAGCAGUCUGCAGAGACCUGUGCAUGGGCAGCGAAGUCCUCCUGACUGUGAAGGAAACUAACCCAGCUGUGGAGCUGAGUCACACUCAGGGAGAAAGGACCCAAAGUCCGACUUCUGCAGCGAACUUCUCGUGAGCUCGCAUCGAACGCGCCGUAUGAUCCCGGCCUGCGGUAACACCGUGUCCUCGGACUUGGAGUGACUCUUCAUUGAAUCCAGCUGCGGCUGAAUUCGGCUGGAAGUGGCGGUGCUCAGAUACCACAGUGAUGAGUGUGGUGUAACAAUGAGAUUUUGAUUUUUGAGUGAAAACUUCAGUAUAUUUGGAUAGCAAACCGUUCCAAUUCUGAUAAGCCACUUCCAAGAGCCAUGUAGCAUCUCUCUGAGAUCCUGGGAGUCAAGGUCUGAGGGAGCCAUGUUUGAAAGAGCAUGCUUGCAAUUUAUUAAUGAACAGCCAGCCAUCAGGGUAGGUACACAACUGCAAUUAGCUGCCUUCUUUGCACAAGCGGUGUGGGGAGAUGAAUUUCUGCAUCUUUGGACAACUCAGAGCACCAUGAUUACUUUGCUUCUGGCAAUACUUGUGGUUCUAAAUAUGGCAGGCAUGACUUUGGAUGUGACAUAGUAAUUGUGGUCAGCGUGCGAUAGCCAGCUGUUGGCCUCAUUGUCAACCAAGCAAAGCAAAGCAAGUCCAGGUCAAAUGGUUUUGGCUUCCAAGGAUCACUUAACUGCUGCGGAAAGCAUUGUUAGCAUUGGGAGGCUGCUUGUGGUCCCUAAAGUCUCUCUGGUACUCAUUAUAAAGGUAGGGAGGAUAAGCUUGUGCAUUCCAGGUUAUUAUAUUUUGUCUACUCAGUUUUCCUUGCCGUUCUGGCUGAAUAAGAGCACCCAUCCUCAUGUUCUUUUAGGAUAAUAAACAGCUGCUGUGUUUCGACACUGGGAUGAUGGCGUUCUGUGGUGGAUAAGAUGAUUCAUGUCUUGGGUUCUUUCGAGUGAAAGGUACUGUUCGAAUGUAAUGUUUUGGUUUCUCUCUCUCUCUCUCUUUUUUUUUUUUUCCCUGUAUGGGUCUGGAACUUGGUUUUGCAUUAUAUAAUGUGAUUGAAAGUUUAAAAACGGCCACUUGGAGCAGCAUACAUAUAGCACCUCUCCCAGCAAAGCUUGCUUUUGGUGGUGGAAAAAGGCUCUGACCCAUUGAGUUACAGGGUUUUCCUGUUGUUCUGUGGCACUAGAAUCCUUGAAGGAUUUUCCAUUUUUCUAUCACAAGUCUUUUAAUUAAAACUUUAUUCCAAACUUGUUGGGAUGGAAGAAAUAUUCCCCCCCCCCCCCCCCCCCCCCCCCACUAGAUUCCAUAUGAUGCUUUUGGGUAAGCUUAGUAGUCUGAUACUUGAGUGUAGAAUGGAAUUAAAUGGCAUUUAUUGCUGGACAAAAAGAAACUGAUGAAUGAUAAAUGGAGAAAGAAAGGGGUGAAGGCUGGUUUUCACAGAACCAUAUGUGUUGGAAGGGACCUCUGGAGAUGGAGUCCAGCCUCCUGCUAAAGCAGGUGCCCUAAAACCUGUGUUUUUUGCGACUUGUGGUUUUAAUGUACCAAAAUCAGAAUCUUUUCUAUGUUGAGAUGGGAGAACCCAAGAUAAGAAAUCUUUCUCCUGUCCUCUUGAAGCUGCAAGACAGGUAAAUCUGAAAUAAAGAUAGAACUAUUACUACUUCAGUGUUUCUAAACCUAAAAAUAGCUGCCCUCUUGGUAACCCAAGACGUGAUAACUAUAUAGAGAGACAUGGGGAAAAUCUUUCGGAGGAGAUCUUUUCGAAUGGGAAGGUUUAUGCCUUGUGGUAAGCUAAGAAUUAGAUAUCUAGAUUGGAAAUUCAAUGGAUGAGGAAUGGGAACGAUGCUCAGCUCUAUGUCUGGGACAUGUUUUCUGUGAGACGCAAGGAGGUGCAAACAACCUUCAGCUGCAGGAAGGCAUUUUUCUCUGGGGAGUCUCAAUCACCUGAGCAGGGGUGCGUGCCCGAGCUCUGCCCUGCAUGGUCUUUGCAUACACCAGGAGCAGUCAAAGAGCUUUUAAAGAGAAACAGCAUGUAAGCACAGUUAUGGUUUAAGUUGAUAUGAGACCUCAAGGUAACCUUGUUGAUGCAGCGGAAGUAUUCUGCCUCUAUUCAUGUGCACACAGUGCGUCAGAGGGCUGAGGCCUUACUCUGGUGUGCAUACCCUGUAAGGAACAAUUACAGAAUAAGCUGAAGGAGGUAAUUUCUUCCUUUCCCUGUGAGCUGGUAGUUGGCUUAUACCCUGACCUACGAGGGUUUGCGUUCUCCAUUUGUUAUUAUAAAACUAUUCUUUAUAUUAUUGUCUGUAUAAUGUGUGUUUAGAAAGUGCCCUUGUGUUUAGGCCAUUUUUAUCUUCAAAAUAUACCACACUCAGAUUCUUACGAGCUCCAGAAAGCAAUGCUUGCUGUCAUUGCAUGCCACUACAUUGUUAAAGUGGUGGAAAAAACGCAUAUAAGCAGACCUGUAUAACGAUGGGCUUUUAAUUUUAUUAUUUCUUUUAACGUGCUGUUGGUGUUAAUUUCUGUGUGCCUGUAAUGUUUGUGUUCACUGUAACUGAACAAUAGAACUUUGUUUUUGUUCUUUGUGUAAAUUAAAAACAUCUGUUCUCUUUA